rnacentral:rRNA from 1 species
UACGUAGGGUGCAAGCGUUGUCCGGAAUUAUUGGGCGUAAAGAGCUCGUAGGCGGUUUGUCGCGUCGGCUGUGAAAGCCCGGAGCUCAACUCCGGGUCUGCAGUCGAUACGGGCAGACUAGAGUUCGGCAGGGGAGACUGGAAUUCCUGGUGUAGCGGUGAAAUGCGCAGAUAUCAGGAGGAACACCGGUGGCGAAGGCGGGUCUCUGGGCCGAAACUGACGCUGAGGAGCGAAAGCGUGGGGAGCAAACAGG